AGUGAACGCUGGCGGUAGGCCUAACACAUGCCAGUCGAACGGCAGCACAGUAAGAGCUUGCUCUUACGGGUGGCGAGUGGCGGACGGGUGAGGAAUACAUCGGAAUCUACUUUUUCGUGGGGGAUAACGUAGGGAAACUUACGCUAAUACCGCAUACGACCUACGGGUGAAAGCAGGGGAUCUUCGGACCUUGCGCGAUUGAAUGAGCCGAUGUCGGAUUAGCUAGUUGGCGGGGUAAAGGCCCACCAAGGCGACGAUCCGUAGCUGGUCUGAGAGGAUGAUCAGCCACACUGGAACUGCGACACGGUCCAGACUCCUACGGGAGGCAGCAGUGGGGAAUAUUGGACAAUGGGCGCAAGCCUGAUCCAGCCAUACCGCGUGGGUGAAGAAGGCCUUCGGGUUGUAAAGCCCUUUUGUUGGGAAAGAAAAGCAGCAGGUUAAUACCCCGCUGUUCUGACGGUACCCAAAGAAUAAGCACCGGCUAACUUCGUG
rnacentral:rRNA from 1 species